GUUGGACCGUGCAAAAGUUCCCUGGAACGGGGCGUCAUAGAGGGUGAGAAUCCCGUAUAUGGCACGGACUACCAUUGCUAUGUGAUACACUCUCAACGAGUCGAGUUGUUUGGGAAUGCAGCUCAAAAUGGGUGGUAAAUUCCAUCUAAAGCUAAAUAUUGGCGAGAGACCGAUAGCGAACAAGUACCGUGAGGGAAAGAUGAAAAGCACUUUGGAAAGAGAGUGAAACAGUACGUGAAAUUGUUGAAAGGGAAGCGUUUGAAGUCAGUCACAUCUGUUGGAAUUCAGCCUGGCUUCUGCCUGGUGUAUUUUCUGGCUGAUGGGUCAGCAUCAAUUUCGACCGAGGGAAAAAGACUUGGGGAAUGUGGCUGUCUUCGGGCAGUGUUAUAGCCCUUUGUUGUAUGUCUCGGUUGGGAUUGAGGAACGCAGCGCGCCUUUUGGCCGGGGUUCGCGCCCUCGGUACGCGCUUAGGAUGCUGGCAUAAUGGCUUUAAGCGACCCGUCUUGAAACACGGACCAAGGAGUCUAACAUGUGCGCAAGUGUUUGGGUGUUAAACCCGAGCGCGUAAUGAAAGUGAAAGGUCGGGAUCAUGAACUUGUGCACCGACGCCCGGAGCAGACCUUCUGUGACGCAUCCGCGGUAGAGCGUAUAUGUUGGGACCCGAAAGAUGGUGAACUAUGCCUGAAUAGGGUGAAGCCAGAGGAAACUCUGGUGGAGGCUYGUAGCGAUUCUGACGUGCAAAUCGAUCGUCAAAUUUGGGUAUAGGGGCGAAAGACUAAUCGAACCAUCUAGUAGCUGGUUCCUGC
rnacentral:rRNA from 1 species